CAGUAGCCACGGUAAUACGUAGGUCCCGAGCGUUGUCCGGAUUUAUUGGGCGUAAAGCGAGCGCAGGCGGUUAGAUAAGUCUGAAGUUAAAGGCUGUGGCUUAACCAUAGUACGCUUUGGAAACUGUUUAACUUGAGUGCAAGAGGGGAGAGUGGAAUUCCAUGUGUAGCGGUGAAAUGCGUAGAUAUAUGGAGGAACACCGGUGGCGAAAGCGGCUCUCUGGCUUGUAACUGACGCUGAGGCUCGAAAGCGUGGGGAGCAAACAGGAUUAGAUACCCGUGUAGUCCCUGUCUCUUAUACA
rnacentral:rRNA from 1 species